rnacentral:rRNA from 1 species
ACACGACUACAUUAGAUACCCGGGUAGUCCUAGGCGUAAAUGAUGCGAGUUAAGUNUGGGGGCGAUCUACGAGAUGGCCCUGUGCUGUAGGGUAGCCGUUAAACUCGCUGCCUGGGAGUACGGUCGCAAGGCUGAAACUUAAAGGAAUUGCGGGGAGCACCACAAGAGGUGGAGGCUGCGGUUCAAUUGGACUCAACGCCGGAAACUCAUCGGGAGCGACAGCAGUAUGAUUGCCAGGUUGAUGACCUUGCUUGACAAGCUG